rnacentral:rRNA from 1 species
GACGAACGCUGGCGGCGUGCUUAACACAUGCAAGUCGAACGGAAAGGCCCUGCUUUUGUGGGGUGCUCGAGUGGCGAACGGGUGAGUAACACGUGAGUAACCUGCCCUUGACUUUGGGAUAACUUCAGGAAACUGGGGCUCAUACCGGAUAGGAGCUCCUGCUGCAUGGUGGGGGUUGGAAAGUUUCGGCGGUUGGGGAUGGACUCGCGGCUUAUCAGCUUGUUGGUGGGGUUGUGGCUUACCAAGGCUUUGACGGGUAGCCGGCCUGAGAGGGUGACCGGCCACAUUGGGACUGAGAUACGGCCCAGACUCCUACGGGAGGCAGCAGUGGGGAAUAUUGCACAAUGGGCGGAAGCCUGAUGCAGCAACGCCGCGUGCGGGAUGACGGCCUUCGGGUUGUAAACCGCUUUCGCCUGUGACGAAGCGUGAGUGACGGUAAUGGGUAAAGAAGCACCGGCUAACUACGUG